CGGCGAGCGAAGCGGGAAGAGCUCAAAUUUGUAAUCUGGCGUCCUCCGGGCGUCCGAGUUGUAAUCUAUAGAGACGUUUUCCGUGCCGGACCGUGUCCAAGUCCCUUGGAACAGGGUAUCAAAGAGGGUGACAAUCCCGUACUUGACACGACGACCGGUGCUCUGUGAUACGUUUUCUACGAGUCGAGUUGUUUGGGAAUGCAGCUCAAAAUGGGUGGUAAAUUCCAUCUAAAGCUAAAUAUAGGCGAGAGACCGAUAGCGAACAAGUACCGUGAGGGAAAGAUGAAAAGCACUUUGGAAAGAGAGUUAAACAGUAUGUGAAAUUGUUGAAAGGGAAACGAUUGAAGUCAGUCAUGUCCAUUGGAUUCAGCUGGUUCUGCCAGUGUAUUUCCUUUGGACGGGUCAACAUCAGUUUGAGCCGGCGGAUAAUGGCAGAGGGAAUGUGGCACCCCCGGGUGUGUUAUAGCCCUUUGUCGCAUACGUCGGCCCAGACUGAGGAAUGCAGCUCGCCUUUAUGGCCGGGGUUCGCCCACGUACGAGCUUAGGAUGUUGGCAUAAUGGCUUUAAACGACCCGUCUUGAAACACGGACCA
rnacentral:rRNA from 1 species